CAUCUUCUUCAACAACAACCAACCACUCAUAACCCAGCACCAAAAGCUGUCGCCGAGCUCCAUCACUGCCAUAGCAGCCCACCCCCGCACCAGCCCAUCGCCAGACCUUCCGCUAGCGACUACCAUUGAAACCGGCGAGCACACACACACACACUGCUACCGUUCUGCCCUCUACUGCCUUUAUAUCGUCGGAGUCACAUCGUCGACGAUGAACGAAUAGAAAACAGCCCAUUGUUUCAUCACCAUUGUUCCCAUGAGUUUUACUUCCAUGUUGGAUGGGUGUAGAUCUUUCAAGACCUGGAUUUUGUGACGUCUUGUGUCGAGUUUGGCCGGAGGUAGUUCUUUGGCAGUUCUUCGUGUGUGUCGCGUCGACUGUUGCUCCAGUGUCUCCAUUGUUGUGGUAGUGGCGUCAUUUAGGUUCAAGGGUGCCGACGAGGUUUUCCGGCCAAGUUCCAGCUUUAGCUCUUAUUCACAUAUUAUUACUACAAUCGGAGAGGACAUCAUUUUAAGGUGUGGAUUUAUUUAUCGGAGUUGGAGCAUGACGGAGCCCUAGGACAUCUAGUCAGGAUCACUGCAUUCAGAAGUUGCUCGAGAAGUCAUUUCAUAUUUUUGACUCAAUUGUUCAUGUUUUACUUUCUAGUCAUGUAUAGUAGUAUUCGGUCUUUUAGGUGAGGUUAGAGUUUGUAAUAGUCUAGUUAAGUUUGUCUAGUCUUUUAUUAUUGUAUUCCUUAUUUGGUAUUU